AAUUAGGUAGCUUAAAUAAAGCAGUAGAAUUUUAAUUUAUUGAUGGUAUUACCCUUAGUUU
rnacentral:tRNA from 1 species